UACGUAGGGGGCAAGCGUUGUCCGGAAUCAUUGGGCGUAAAGAGCGUGUAGGCGGCUCGGUAAGUCCGCUGUAAAAGUCCAGGGCUCAACCCUGGAAAGCCGGUGGAAACUGUCGGGCUAGAGUUCGGAAGAGGCGAGUGGAAUUCCCGGUGUAGCGGUGAAAUGCGCAGAUAUCGGGAGGAACACCAAUGGCGAAGGCAGCUCGCUGGGACGUUACUGACGCUGAGACGCGAAAGCGUGGGGAGCAAACAGG
rnacentral:rRNA from 1 species